UACAGAGGAUGCAAGCGUUAUCCGGAAUGAUUGGGCGUAAAGCGUCUGUAGGUGGCUUUUUAAGUCCGCCGUCAAAUCCCAGGGCUCAACUCUGGACAGGCGGUGGAAACUACCAAGCUGGAGUACGGUAGGGGCAGAGGGAAUUUCCGGUGGAGCGGUGAAAUGCGUAGAUAUCACUUGGAACGCCAAUGGUGAAAACAGGUAGCUGGGGAUGUGCCGACGCUGAGACACGAAAGCCAGGGGAGCGAACGGG
rnacentral:rRNA from 1 species